rnacentral:rRNA from 1 species
GUCCAGGGCCACGCCACCCUGAACAAGCCGGAUCCCGUCUGAUCUCGGAAGCUAAGCAGGGUCGGGCCUGGUUAGUACUUGGAUGGGAGACCACCUAGGAAGACCAGGUGCUGCAGGCU